AAGUCGUAACAAGGUUUCCGUAGGUGAACCUGCGGAAGGAUCAUUAUCGUAGGGCUUCGGCCCUGUCGAGAUAGAACCCUUGCCUUUUUGAGUACCUUUCGUUUCCUCGGCAGGCUCGCCUGCCAAUGGGGACCACAAAAAACACUUUGCAGUACCUGUAACAGUCUGAACAAACAAAACAAAAAUUAAAACUUUCAACAACGGAUCUCUUGGUUCUG
rnacentral:misc_RNA from 1 species